AUUGAACGCUGGCGGCAGGCUUAACACAUGCAAGUCGAGCGGAGAUGAGGUGCUUGCACCUUAUCUUAGCGGCGGACGGGUGAGUAAUGCUUAGGAAUCUGCCUAUUAGUGGGGGACAACAUUCCGAAAGGAAUGCUAAUACCGCAUACGUCCUACGGGAGAAAGCAGGGGAGAUUAGGACCUUGCGCUAAUAGAUGAGACUAAGUCGGAUUAGCUAGUUGGUGGGGUAAAAGCCUACCAAUGGUACGAUCUGUAGCGGGUCUGAGGGGAUGAUCCGCCACACUGGGACUGAGACACGGCCCAGACUCCUACGGGAGGCAGCAGUGGGGAAUAUUGGACAAUGGGGGGAACCCUGAUCCAGCCAUGCCGCGUGUGUGAAGAAGGCCUUAUGGUUGUAAAGCACUUUAAGCGAGGAGGAGGCUACUGAGACUAAUACUCUUGGAUAGUGGACGUUACUCGCAGAAUAAGCACCGGCUAACUCUGUGCCAGCCGCCGCAGUAACAC
rnacentral:rRNA from 1 species